rnacentral:rRNA from 1 species
UGUGAGCUCGAUGAGUAGGGCGGGACACGUGGUAUCCUGUCUGAAUAUGGGGGGACCAUCCUCCAAGGCUAAAUACUCCUGACUGACCGAUAGUGAACCAGUACCGUGAGGGAAAGGCGAAAAGAACCCCGGCGAGGGGAGUGAAAAAGAACCUGAAACCGUGUACGUACAAGCAGUGGGAGCACGCUUAGGCGUGUGACUGCGUACCUUUUGUAUAAUGGGUCAGCGACUUAUAUUCUGUAGCAAGGUUAACCGAAUAGGGGAGCCGAAGGGAAACCGAGUCUUAACUGGGCGUUAAGUUGCAGGGUAUAGACCCGAAACCCGGUGAUCUAGCCAUGGGCAGGUUGAAGGUUGGGUAACACUAACUGGAGGACCGAACCGACUAAUGUUGAAAAAUUAGCGGAUGACUUGUGGCUGGGGGUGAAAGGCCAAUCAAACCGGGAGAUAGCUGGUUCUCCCCGAAAGCUAUUUAGGUAGCGCCUCGUGAAUUCAUCUCCGGGGGUAGAGCACUGUUUCGGCAAGGGGGUCAUCCCGACUUACCAACCCGAUGCAAACUGCGAAUACCGGAGAAUGUUAUCACGGGAGACACACGGCGGGUGCUAACGUCCGUCGUGAAGAGGGAAACAACCCAGACCGCCAGCUAAGGUCCCAAAGUCAUGGUUAAGUGGGAAACGAUGUGGGAAGGCCCAGACAGCCAGGAUGUUGGCUUAGAAGCAGCCAUCAUUUAAAGAAAGCGUAAUAGCUCACUGGUCGAGUCGGCCUGCGCGGAAGAUGUAACGGGGCUAAACCAUGCACCGAAGCUGCGGCAGCGACACU